ACUGGCAGGGUUGGGUGUGAGCCGUGAGCGCGGCUGUGUGCUGAGGGGAGCGUUGGUUCUGAGCGUGCCUGGAUGUGCGAGUGGCUGGGCUGCUCCUUGCGAAGUGCAGAAUACUCUAAAGAAGAAAAUGCUCUAAUAGCGAACGAAGCGUGGUGAAUGACGGAAUAGUUUGGGUUGAAAAGGAGCUUAAAGCCCCCACAGUUGCAACCCCCUGCUGUGGGCAGGGCUGCCACCCUCCACCUCAGGCUGCCCGGGGCCUUGAGGUGAGAAGAGGCUGGAAAUACCAGCUCAAAUUAAUAGCCACGCCGUAGAAUCAUAGAGUCUUUACGGUUGGAAAAAACCACUGAGACCAUCUAGUCCAACCCCAACCCAGCCCCACCAUGCCCACUGAGCACAUCCCUCAGUGCCACAUCCACAUGGCUCCUGAACGCCUCCAUCAGCAAUGAGUCCACCACCUCCCUGGGCAGCCUGUGCCACUGCAGCACCGCUCUAUCAGAGAAGAAAUUCUUCCUAAUAUCCGAUCAUACCUGCAGUGUAAAAAAAAAACACCAGAUAGAACAGCAUUCCUGAGAUUCCUGGGAGUGGUCCCACACAAGGACUCCCAGUCCUCACAGAGGACUGGCACAGGAACAUCUUUUACCUUUAGCCUGAUCCAAGAGCUGCUGAAAUCAGUGGAAGAGCUCCUAGUGAUUUGAGCAUAUGAUCACAAGGAAAGAAGCCUGAAAAAGCCUCUUUGAGAUGCUAAUUACAUCAUUCAUGUCAAUGACUGGCCUACACCAAAAGCCAUGUCUUUGGAGUUCCCCCUUCAAGAAAAUGAUCUGCAUAUGGCCAGAUAAACCUAAACACCAUGGGUCUAUAGGAGAAGUCUUUCCUGUUUUAACCAAGAGGGGAAGAGUCAACUUGUUCUCUUGAGAAGUAUAGGAAGGUGAAUAGGAAUAGGAUCAAGAAUAGGAAAGUUUUUGCACCUUCCUCUUUCGACAGAAAGGAGGUGUUCUCUGUCAAAAUCUUUCAUGAAGGUAGUAUAAUCGCUAUUUUCUGUCUGAGAAAUUUGAUAAUCUUACUCAAUACAGCAUUUAUUGAGGUCACUUAAAGUCCAGUUCUUCUAGCGUGUUAGCCAAAAUCACAUUGAAAUUCCAAACAUGUCUUUUCACUUUAAUGUCUCUAAGAUUUAGUAGAACAUGUUUAAUUUACAAGCGUUACAUUUUUUAGAAUAGUUAAACUUUGAGCUCCAUUCUCAUAAUAAUAUAUGAGGAAUUUAAGCAGAUAAUCUAUAAAUACUAAAGGGAUUAAUUCCCCAAGAGCAAGAGAAAAAAACUUCAAAAGCUUUUGGAAGAUAUCUUCUGCCUUUAUAAUGUAAUUAACUUGCAGUUAAAGUUGCAUUAUACAUUGUUAAUUAAAGGAGAAAAAC
ensembl:lncRNA